GACAGAGGGUGCAAACGUUGUUCGGAAUUACUGGGCGUAAAGCGCGUGUAGGCGGCCACGCAGGUCCGCUGUGAAAACUCGAGGCUCAACCUCGAGCUGUCGGUGGAAACCGCGUGGCUAGAGUCCGGAAGAGGGGACUGGAAUUCCCGGUGUAGCGGUGGAAUGCGCAGAUAUCGGGAGGAACACCCGUGGCGAAGGCGGGUCCCUGGGACGGUACUGACGCUGAGACGCGAAAGCGUGGGGAGCGAACAGG
rnacentral:rRNA from 1 species